UACGGAGGGUGCAAACGUUGCUCGGAAUCAUUGGGCGUAAAGCGCACGUAGGCGGCGCGUUAAGUCGGGUGUGAAAGCCCUGGGCUCAACCCAGGAAGUGCAUUCGAAACUGGCGCGCUUGAAUAUGGAAGAGGGUCGCGGAAUUCCCGGUGUAGAGGUGAAAUUCGUAGAUAUCGGGAGGAACACCAGUGGCGAAGGCGACUUACUGGACACAUAUUGACGCUGAGGUGCGAAAGCGUGGGGAGCAAACAGG
rnacentral:rRNA from 1 species